rnacentral:rRNA from 1 species
CCUACGGGAGGCAGCAGUAGGGAAUCUUCGGCAAUGGGGGGAACCCUGACCGAGCAACGCCGCGUGAGUGAAGAAGGUUUUCGGAUCGUAAAGCUCUGUUGUAAGAGAAGAACGAGUGUGAGAGUGGAAAGUUCACACUGUGACGGUAACUUACCAGAAAGGGACGGCUAACUACGUGCCAGCAGCCGCGGUAAUACGUAGGUCCCGAGCGUUGUCCGGAUUUAUUGGGCGUAAAGCGAGCGCAGGCGGUUAGAUAAGUCUGAAGUUAAAGGCUGUGGCUUAACCAUAGUACGCUUUGGAAACUGUUUAACUUGAGUGCAGAAGGGGAGAGUGGAAUUCCAUGUGUAGCGGUGAAAUGCGUAGAUAUAUGGAGGAACACCGGUGGCGAAAGCGGCUCUCUGGUCUGUAACUGACGCUGAGGCUCGAAAGCGUGGGGAGCAAACAGGAUUAGAUACCCCAGUAGUC